GUCUCCAUAGCUCAGUUGGUAGAGCAUUCGCCUAGACAGCGAAAGGCCCCCAGUUCAAGCCUGGGGUGGAGGCA
rfam:Phlebotomus papatasi Contig38942.1, whole genome shotgun sequence.